rnacentral:lncRNA from 1 species
UUACUAAUAAGUAUAACUACCAAUUGGAGGCAUUUCAGUGUAAUUGAUCUGAACACUUUGAAAUGGUCUCAGUGCUGGAUUUCUUCCACCAAGGCGCAAUUUCCUUAGAUCCUGCUUAUUAGCUUUUUUUACAUGUUAAGCAACUAUCUAUAACUUGUUUGGCCAGGGUGUAAAUUCUUAUACACCCAUAAACCCGGAGAACUGCAUUGCACAUUGCUUGGGGUCCCCAAUGGGUCCCUUGAUGUAAUUGAGACAAGACUUCCCUCAUGAGAGGUUUUGACAACAUUUCCCUUUGAUCUGAUAAUAUCCAUUUCCUAUCCGCAUUUUCUUUAGCUCCUAUUUUUAUCAACGUCUUUUGUUCAAUGGAAGAGAAAACGGGUUACAGUAGGAGGAGGGCAUGGAGUUAAAUGGAAGAAAUGGCAACUUGUUUUGCUAUUUUAUUGUAACCGACUGAGUUAUAGAGAGAAUGCCACAGUCUGAGACUAAUUCAGUGAUCCUUUAUUGCCAGCAACCGAGAGACGGCUAGAGCUCAAAAUUCUCUCAGCCCCGAAGAAGGGGCUACACAUCUUUUUACACCUUGGUCUAAAGAGGGGAGGAGGAGUGUAGCUGAAGCAAUUUUUUACAGAAGCAGAACAGGCAAAAAAGUUGAAAGAUAAAUGGUUACAGAAACAGUAAUAAGAAAAUAAACAGUUCCAGGUGCAGGGGCUUAAAUUAUCACAAAGUGAUAAACGCAAAGGCUUUGGGCACCGUCAACCGAGUGCGUUCCCAGGAGCUGCUGGUACAGCUUGCCUCAGUAUCUUAUCAGUAAGCGCAUUCUUGGAUGUGCUUGGAGUCAGCUUGCACCAGUUAUGUCCUUAAGGGAGGGGGACAAGGGGCUGCAAGUGAAGAAACCAAAAUGGAGUCUGUCCAGCUCUCUCAGCUAAGAGAGAGUCAAUCAGGUUAAAAGAAGUUAGGGUAUCACAUUUCCCACUCGUGUUUGGGGGAAUCAGAUCAUUGAUUCCUCGGUUAUAACAAGGGUGUUAUAUUGGGUUCUAAGAUACAUAAGAUUGACAGAAGCUAUGCGUUGCUUUACAAAAUUAAGAAACCAAUUUAAUAUACAAGGCCUGAAGACUAACCCUAACAAGAGGAGGAGAAGGGGGUCCCGCCAACCCAGUAAUUAGAGUAGUUAGCCAGGGAUUCCAGUUAAACAUGCUUUGGUACUUUGGUACUCCAGGAAUGAGAAAGGUGGUGUUACUUUCUUGUUCCUUCUGGCAUCUAUCUAGAUUUUCUCGAACUCUUUGAAGAGUAUUUUUUAUGACUCCAGACUGAUUGGCAUAGAAACAACAACUUUCUUCUAGAGCUGUGCAUAAACCUCCUUGGGAGAUAAAUAGCAGAUCUAAGCCUCGGCGGUUUUGAAGAACUACUUCAGCUAGAGACUCUACCUGGGCAUGUAGUAUAUUUAUGGCUGAUUGGAGAUUGCUUAAAUCAGCAUCUACCUGUUGAGAUAGUGAUAUUAGUCCAGUUUCUCCUUGAAUCAGGGCAGUCGUGCCAAUAGCUGCUGACGUAGCUAUGCUAAGGCCAGCUAGAAGGGGUACAAGGAGUAGGGCAGCUCGGUGAAACCUGAAAUGCAAUUCAGGGGGAGCAAUGAGAAGUUGUCCUUCUGGCCCACUGUACAUGUAGAUCUGGGGGAGUACAUGAAUCAACAUGCAUAGGAGAGGUCCAGGUUCAGUCCCAUUGAUGCAGCGAGUGAGGCCUGAAAUGCAGGCCAACCAGGUAUUUUUGGGUGCCUGGUAGGAGACUGAGGGGUUUAAGGAAGUAAGGAGAGACUCACUACAAGUAGCCUGAAAGGGAGAAGCAGGUAAGUUAUACCUUGCGCUAAUUAGACAGAAGGCAUUCCCUGACACAUCUCCUAGUGUAAGGGCAUGGGGGCACGUAUGACAAGAAAGAGAGUCCAUUUUGAGCAUGGCUUCUACUCCUAAUCCAACAUAAUAUGGGGGUUUGGCCUUUCGGCACAACCAGCAAUCUCAGGCUAGUUUAGGCUUGGUGAGAUUAAGGAGGUGAUGUAUCCCGUCCAAAAUGGACAUCGGGCUGGGUUGGAGGUAUUGUCAUUGCAGCUGGGGUCUCAGAACCAGGAAUGGCAGUGGGACAGUUAAAUCGACUCUCUCUGGGUGUUUUUGGAACAUAGGGUCACCUAAAUCAGUUAAAGUUCUGAUUGGCUUCAUGGGACCAGGAAUUUUUUCUGGAUGGUGAACAUAGUUCCAACAUCAAAUCCUGAAAUAUAAAGCCUUAAUCCCUAUGACAUGCUGUAAUACCAUUGAGUUAAACUAGGGUUACGGAGAGUUAUAGUAAGAGGAUUACAAUUUCCUAUAGUACACGGCUUAGGAUGGGAAGCACAAGCUAUGGAAAGGGUUGAGGAUCAGGUUCAUCCUCCAGAGUAAGUGGCCAAGGUUACACACAUGCAGUAAGGGCAGAAAAACUGGUAAGAAUCUCGACAACUAGAGUCAGGGCGAUUUCCAGGACAAAGGUAAAAGUCAACGCUCUGGAGCCUUUUUUCUGCACCCUUAGAACUUCCACAUCCAGUUUGGCUUCUGGUGUGUCCGAACCCUGCAGCAAGGUCAGCGUUCCCUGCUCUCAUGAUCGGCAGAUUGCAUUGCUCUUCAAGGGUAUGGGCAGGGUCGGGGAACAAAGCACAUAAACCGACUACAAAAGAGACUUCCUUGGAGGGUCCCACCUUCCAAGUGGUGUUUGCAAACACACAUCCUGUCAUGAAGGAAGUGAGGAGAAAAGAGUAGGAAGGGGCAGAGGACAUAACAGGUGGAAACAGACAGAAGAGGUAAAUAAAAAGAAUUAAUUCGAUAGCUUUACUCAACUUAGGCGCAGUUUUAAGGGGCCUGGCCUAGGCUUGGGGACCCAUUUUUUUUGCUGGGCUUUGUUGGCCUUUUUGAUGCGAGAAUGAUGAAUCCAAGCAGGAGUGCCGUCCACCUUCAGAGCUGUUGGUGUGGUGAGGAUGACAGUAUGAGGUCCUUUCCAGGCAGGAGUCAGUCCUUUUUUCUGGAACUUUUUAACAUACACUAGGUCACCCAGCUGGAAAGAGUGGCAGGGCCCAGUCUGGUCAGGAACUGGGCUGGGGUGUGCUCCCCUGACAAGCAGCUGGAUGAUGUCUUGUACCCGUUGGAGAGACUGCAGGUACUGUAACAAGUUAGCUUGUGAGAUUUCUGCUAAAUGGGUAUCCUUUAGCUUAGGCAAGAUAGGCGGAGCCCUUCCAUACAUGAUUUCAAAAGGUGAAAACCCAGCCUGGUAAGGGGUGCAUCUUACUCUAAGAAGGGCUAAAGGAAGGAGCUUUACCUAGUUUUCACUGGUUUCUAGGAUUAAUUUUGCAAGAGUACUUUUUAGGAUGGGGUUCAUGCAUUCUACUUGUCCAGAGCUCUGGGGUCGAUAGGCACAAUGGAGUUUCCAUUGAAUGUUUAAUGCCUUGCUGACCGACUGAGCUAUGGACGAGGUGAAGGCUGGUCCAUUAUCAGACCUUAUUACAACAGGCAGUCCAUGUUGAGGGAUGAUUUCAUUGAGUAAAAGCUUAACUACCGUGGUAGCAGUUUCGUUUUUGGUGGCAAAUGCCUCAGUCCAUCCAGAAAAGGUGUCUACUAGCACCAGGAGGUAUUUAUACCCUGCCAAGUGUGGUUUUACCUCUGUAAAGUCAAUUUCCCACCUUCCUCCUGGCAAGCCUCCCUGGAGGCGGUGGCCUGGGCUGGGCUUAGGACCUUGCUUGGUGUUUACUUGGGCACAAGCCGUUUACUGGAGAGCUGCUUGGUUAGUUAAGUCCUGAAGGUGGGGGAUCUUGAAAUGGCUCCUUAGAAGCUGGGCCAGUUUUACUCCUCCUAAAUGGGUGGUAGAAUGUAGAUGAUUGAUAAAAGUUUCCCCAAGGGCUUGGGGCAUGAAGAUUCUGGAAUCAGGAAGAAUUCACCAACCUUCCUGAUUUUUACUGGCUUGAAGAUCCGAAGCUUGUUUUUCUUCCUCUGGGGAGUAUUCUGGGUAGUCUGCCCAGUCAGUUGUGGAAAGGACACAGAGGGCAGCAGGGUUAAAGGCACGACCAGGAGCUGAGCUGCCUCUCAAGCUGCAGAGUCUGCUCUUUGGUUACCACGAGCAAUGGCCAUGUCUUCUCUUUGAUGUCCUUUGCAGUGAAUUGCAGCCACCUGUUGAGGGAGCCAAACAGCUUCAAGCAGGGCUAAAAUUUCUUCUUUGUUGUUGACACUCUUUCCUGCUGAGGUGAGUAGCCCUCGCUCUUGAUAGAUGGCUCUGUGUACAUGUACAGUAGCAAAAGCAUACCUGCUGUCAGUGUAGAUGUUAAUACAUUUGUCUUUACCCUAUUGGAGGGCCUGAGUCAGGGUUACCAACUCAGUCCUCUGUGCCAAGGUACCUGCCGGCAGUGCCUGGGCCUACAGUACAUCUGUCUCCAUAGUAAUGGCCACACCAGCCUUCUGUACUCCCUGUUCAAGGAAGCUGCUACCAUCUGUAAACACGGUGGCAUCCACCUCCUUUAGAGGCACAUCUUGGAGAUGAGGUCAGCCAGUUUCCAUAGUUUCUAACAGUUCUUGGCAGUCAUGGACAGGUGUGGUAAGGUCUGGAUCAGGGAACAAGGUAGCUGGAUUUAAACACCUUGUGGGAGAGAAAGUUAAACGCGGCUGAUCUAACAGUAAACUCUGAUACCGCAAGAUGCGAGCAUUCGACAUCCAUUUGCCAGAAGCACUUUGUAGCAAGGUCUCUACAGCAUGAGGAGCCGUAAGGGUUAAAUUCUGGCCCAGAGUCAGUUUAUCAGCCUCCUGGACCUGGCUUGCUGUUGCCACUAUGGCUCACAGACAACUUGGCCACCCAGAGGCCACAGGGUCCAGUCUCUUAGACAAAUAGGCCACUGGGUGUUGCCAUGGCCCUAAAGUCUGAGUAAGUACCCCUUUAGCGACUCCUUGGUUUUCAUGAACAAAAAGGUGAAAUGGUUUUGAGAUAUUUGGGAGGGCAAGAGCAGGGGCCUCAGUUAGUGCCUUCUUCAGAUUUUGAAAAGCCUGUUCUUCUUUGUCAGUCCAAACCAGCGGGGUAUUCCCUCCAGUAGUGGUGUACAGGGGUUUGGCAAUUUCCAUGAACCCCAAUAUCUAUAGGCGACCAUAUCCCACGGUGCCCAGGAAUUCAUGUACCUGUCUCUUAGUGGUGGGAGUGGGGAUUUGAAGGAUGGCUGCCUUUCGAGCACUGGUGAGUGCCCUUUUUCCUUCAUUUGUCUCAUACCCUAGGUAGGAAAUGCUGGGAAGAAAAAGCUGGGCCUUCUUGGCUGGGACCUGAUACCCGAAUUCCUGAAGGAGUCCUGUACAGGCUGGUAAUCAUUUGUUCCGGGUUUCUGGACCGGCAAAAAUGGAAUAUUCCAGGCGAUCUCACAUGGUAUAUGGUCCCUCUCUUCAGAGGUGAAAAGGGAUGAAAGGAGUUGCUGACACUCAUCCCAGGUGGGCCGGUGAGUCUGGAGCACAGACUCCAUCAGUGAGGUUAAGACCUGGGGCUUUUCAGAAAAGGGGGGAUUAUGAGCCUUCCAGUUGUACAGGUCAGAAGUAGAGAAGGGGACAUAAACUAAAAAUGGAGCACAACGCCCACUGCCCAAAGGGAUUUGGGCCUCUGUCAGUGGGAGGAGCGGGGCCACCUCCUCCGGCUGAGGCCAUAAUUGGGAGGAUAUAGGCAGAGAGGCCACAGAGGAUGUAGUUGAGGAGACAAGGGAAGAUUCUGGGGGAGGAGGAGGGUUAUAGGGUGGUGGAAAUGGGUGAAGAAAACUUUCCUCUUCUUCAGAAGGAGGCAGUACAGGAGGAAUCGAGGGAGCUGAGGGUGGAGGCAAAAGUGAGGUCUGGCUAAAAAGGACCUUGGAGGUAGGAUCACGAAUGGCUACAGAGUUUUAUCACGAGUGGAGCCAUGAAGGAGAGCUCUGGACUAAAUCUAGCCAUUGAUCAAUGUAGGGAAACUGAUCGGGGUGACCGGGAGUUCCAACAACGACCCACCACACAGCCUGAACAGCUGUGAAGUGUAGUGACCCGUCUGGGGGCCACCCAGUUCCAAACUUUGGCCAUUCUACUUCGCAGAGUGUCCAGAGUUUGCCUUUUUUAAGGCGGACCCCGUAAUCAUCUGAGAAGCCUAGAGAGAAAUUCUGCAACAUACACUGGAGAGGACUCCAAUCUUUAUGGGGCCGGGAAGAAGAGUUUACUAUUCUGGAGGCAAUUAACAAGGUUUGAACAAAAAUAUUAAACCCAGCAUGGACAAAGAUAUUCACGGCCUGGGAGGCUAUGGUAUCAGAAGAACAGAAGUAUUAUAGCUAGAAGAAGUAGGAAAACAACUAUAGCCAAUAUUUCUUGCCACAUAAGGUCUGUCUCCUCAAGCUUCGAGAUCUAUGGAGAGGAUAAGAGGUGGGUCCAAGGGAUCCUCAGCCAGUGGGACUUAGGUGACCCCCCCUUCUUGACUUAUAUCCCAAAUAACUUUGGUGUCUCCACGACUCGAAAGCAAAAUGUUCAAACUCGGUCCUUUCCUUCACGGGUUUAAGGAGGGAGAACACAGCCAAGUCUUAGAGACGCUGGACUUGCUGCAACACAGGAAAAUGAGAUGUGCAGGGUAAGGGAUGGGGAUGAGGAGGAAAGGGGCCACUUGGAUUUCCCUAAAGGUUGGAGAGUAGCCAAAAGAGGUAAAAUAAGAGUCCAGACAGAGUAGAGCAGUAUGGGUGUAGGUUUCUCUGCACAGUGCCUUAUUUAAGGGCAUGGGAAAAGUUAUGGGAUGACAGAAAAGGUGAGUAAGGAGGUCAGCAGGGUGGCUAUUUUGGAUCCACCACUGGUCUAAGGAGAAGGUGGACCAGUCGUUGGGGCGUGGGGUAUGGCAAUCCAAACGCCAGCAAUCUUUAUGGUGCCAGAAAUCCUAAACGGGUGAAUGUCUUCCACACCCUUCCCCAUAACAACACCUAAUUUGUUUCUGACAGGAAAGGCAGGACUGGGAUGGCCAGCCCAACCGACUAAUGAGGAAUUUGACCUCCUGGGAUAGAAAAUCUGUACUAAGGACCUUGAAGAAGUCCUUGCCCAGUCAUUUUGGGCAGUAUCGACGAUCCGACAUAUGAAAUUUAGACAGACACUAAACAGGACAAUAGGCACUGGGGUAUAUAAACAAGCAUGGCAAUUUUUAUAGACAGACAAGGGGAGGGGGUCCCGUGAUGGGAUCAGUCAGAUGCCCUCCUGGCUGCUCCCCUUUCGGGGACUUAGGCUCCUCUUGGCAUUGGCAGGCUGGUAUAAACCCCUGGCUUGGAUCGAGCUAUGCCUGAUGCCGCCCUAAGCCUUAUGAGGUCACCACGGAACCACAGGUGAGGGCCUUCUCGAAUUCCCUAGCUUUCACCCUGGAGCUACAAACUGGAAAUUCAAGCGCAAGCCCUUGAACUCCACAUUCACUCACUCACUCACUCACUCAGAGUUUAUUACAAUUUUUAUACCCAUUCUAAAACAGAGAUCUCCCGGAGACCUGAAUGAGAGAGGGAGAAGAGAUAGAGAGAGAGAGAGACUAGACUUAACAGAGAAUCCUGACAGAAACCAGGACUCUGUCCUCCAGUGUCCUGGAGCAUGGACAGAGUCUGAGGGAGGACCUUCGUCAGGGCCGUUUCCCUCCCAGAGAGACAGAGUCAGAUCUGACUUACCU